UACAAAAUUCAAAUACAACUUAAUUAUACAACAGUCGUGUAAAGUACAACAAAAUACAUGCUGUGAGUUUUAAUACAAAUAUUGCCUACUAGACAAUAUCCACUCUCAGAAUAAGUCCUCAAUACAUUUAUUGUCACAUUAUUUAACAGAAUAGUGAGGACUACUAGCUAACACUAUCAUCCAGAACAUUACUCCGUUCCCCGACUCAUCCCAGC
rnacentral:lncRNA from 1 species